UACGUAGGGUGCAAGCGUUAAUCGGAAUUACUGGGCGUAAAGCGUGCGCAGGCGGUUGUGUAAGACAGAUGUGAAAUCCCCGGGCUCAACCUGGGAACUGCAUUUGUGACUGCACGGCUCGAGUGCGGCAGAGGGGGAUAGAAUUCCGCGUGUAGCAGUGAAAUGCGUAGAUAUGCGGAGGAACACCGAUGGCGAAGGCAAUCCCCUGGGCCUGCACUGACGCUCAUGCACGAAAGCGUGGGGAGCAAACAGG
rnacentral:rRNA from 1 species